AUUGAACGCUGGCGGCAGGCCUAACACAUGCAAGUCGAACGAGUGGCGGACGGGUGAGUAAUGUCUGGGAAACAGCCCGAUGGAGGGGGAUAACUACUGGAAACGGUAGCUAAUACCGCAUCCCAUCAGAUGUGCCCAGAUGGGAUUAGCUAGUAGGGUGGGUAAUGGCUCACCUAGGCGACGCUCCCUAGCUGGUCUGAGAGGAUGACCAGACACACUGGAACUGAGACACGGUCCAGACUCCUACGUGAGGCAGCAGUGGGGAAUAUUGCACAAUGGGCGCAAGCCUGAUGCAGCCAUGCCGCGUGUGUGAAGAAGGCCUUCGGGUGGUAAAGCACUUUCAGCGAGGAGGCGUUACUCGCAGAAGAAGCACCGGCUAACUCCGUGCCAGCAGCCGCGGUAAUAC
rnacentral:rRNA from 1 species